GACGAACGCUGGCGGCGUGCCUAAUACAUGCAAGUAGAACGCUGAAGAGAGGAGCUUGCUCUUCUUGAAUGAGUUGCGAACGGGUGAGUAACGCGUAGGUAACCUGCCUUGUAGCGGGGGAUAACUAUUGGAAACGAUAGCUAAUACCGCAUAACAAUGGGUGACACACGUCAUUUAUUUGAAAGGGGCAAUUGCUCCACUACAAGAUGGACCUGCGUUGUAUUAGCUAGUAGGUGAGGUAACGGCUCACCUAGGCGACGAUACAUAGCCGACCUGAGAGGGUGAUCGGCCACACUGGGACUGAGACACGGCCCAGACUCCUACGGGAGGCAGCAGUAGGGAAUCUUCGGCAAUGGGGGCAACCCUGACCGAGCAACGCCGCGUGAGUGAAGAAGGUUUUCGGAUCGUAAAGCUCUGUUGUAAGUCAAGAACGAGUGUGAGAGUGGAAAGUUCACACUGUGACGGUAGCUUACCAGAAAGGGACGGCUAACUACGUGCCAGCAGCCGCGGUAAUACGUAGGUCCCGAGCGUUGUCCGGAUUUAUUGGGCGUAAAGCGAGCGCAGGCGGUUUGAUAAGUCUGAAGUUAAAGGCUGUGGCUCAACCAUAGUUCGCUUUGGAAACUGUCAAACUUGAGUGCAGAAGGGGAGAGUGGAAUUCCAUGUGUAGCGGUGAAAUGCGUAGAUAUAUGGAGGAACACCGGUGGCGAAAGCGGCUCUCUGGUCUGUAACUGACGCUGAGGCUCGAAAGCGUGGGGAGCGAACAGG
rnacentral:rRNA from 1 species